rnacentral:rRNA from 1 species
GAUGAACGCUGGCGGCGUGCCUAAUACAUGCAAGUCGAGCGAACAGACGAGGAGCUUGCUCCUCUGACGUUAGCGGCGGACGGGUGAGUAACACGUGGAUAACCUACCUAUAAGACUGGGAUAACUUCGGGCAACCGGAGCUAAUACCGGAUAAUAUAUUUAACCGCAUGGUUCAAUAGUGAAAGACGGUUUUGCUGUCACUUAUAGAUGGAUCCGCGCCGCAUUAGCUAGUUGGUAAGGUAACGGCUUACCACGGCAACGAUGCGUAGCCGACCUGAGAGGGUGAUCGGCCACACUGGAACUGAGACACGGUCCAGACUCCUACGGGAGGCAGCAGUAGGGAAUCUUCCGCAAUGGGCGAAAGCUUGACGGAGCAACGCCGCGUGAGUGAUGAAGGUCUUCGGAUCGUAAAACUCUGUUAUUAGGGAAGAACAAAUGUGUAAGUAACUAUGCACGUCUUGACGGUACCUAAUCAGAAAGCCACGGCUAACUACGUG